rnacentral:rRNA from 1 species
CACGUAGGCACCAAGCGUUGUCCGGAUUUAUUGGGCGUAAAGAGCUCGUAGGCGGCUCAGUAAGUCAGGUGUGAAAUCUUUGGGCUUAACCCAAAGCGUGCACUUGAUACUGCUGUGACUUGAGUUCGGUAGGGGAGUGGGGAAUUCCUAGUGUAGCGGUGAAAUGCGCAGAUAUUAGGAGGAACACCGGUGGCGAAGGCGCCACUCUGGGCCGAAACUGACGCUGAGGAGCGAAAGCGUGGGUAGCAAACAGG